UGGAUUGCUGAGACAGCGAUCAAGGGUGGCACUGAUCUGCCACGUCAAAAGCUGGGUUGUGUGCAGACUGAACAAGAUCAACCCUGUUAAGCACCUGAAAGCUACAGGCAAAGGUCCAGCCAUGUAAUAAAACCCCAGACACUUGAAAACCUUCCCAUUGUGCCCCAGGAUCACAGUGGAGUGAAGAAGGUUACUGCUUGUCCCAGGCUCAUGCAGACCAUUUUCAGAGAAGCCACUCCUGCACCUGGCUCUGCUGGCUGCUGGCCAAAGGCUGUGGCCUGCAGCAGGGGCGAUGGCCUGUGCCAGCACACCAGGCAUCAGGAGGGGCCACCUGCCUGGGGUACAAGUGUGGUGUGAGCUGAUAAGCUCCUAACGGCUCACAGCACGGCUCAGGCUGGAAGCACACUGCAGGGGCAGGUGGUGUUGGCUGAGCUAAGGCAGGUUUUGAAGAGGUCUGACCAAAGCUGGUACUUCUGUGCUGCCACUGGAUUUUCCCCCUAUUUUGCACUCCAAGCUGAGCCACACUGGGAUGGGAAGGAGCAAACAAGCCUGCAAACUGUCCUGGCAUGUGAGCAUGUUGCUUUCCUUCAGAGAUCCAACUAAACAACUUCCCCAGCUGUCACCCCUCUGCAGCAUUCAAUACCUUCCUUACUUUUUUAUUUUUAAAAUCUAACCCAAUCACAGUCCCUGACCUCAACUUCCAACAGCCCCAGUGGACCAAGAUGGGUUCUUAAACUUCAGAGCACACACUGCAGGUCUGACAGACUGGUGGGUGCAUCAGAAAUAAAACUCCAGAGCCCUGGGAGCAGAUGGAGUCACUGCUCACUGAACUAGAUGUUGCACAGAGGGCUAUGGUCUAGCUGACAAAAUGGUGAUCGGUCAAAGGUUGAACUCAAUGGUCUUGAAAGUCUUUUCCACUGAAAUGACUUUGUGAUUCUUUGAAAACCAUCACAGAAGACUUAGUUAAAAGACCAUUUCAGAGAGAAAGCAAUUGCAAAGCCAUUAAUCUUUUUUAUCAAGUCCUGGAGCUGCCCCUGGGCAGCUGUAAUUCCCCAGGUCAGGCCAUGAUGUGAGUGCCUUUUCCCCUUGUUUACCUGGACUCUGCUGCAACGUGGCUUUGACAAUGCUGCAGGCUCUUGUUUUCAAUGAAAAUAGCAGCAUUGUGCAGCCUCCAGACAGAGCCAGACGGCUUUCCAUGUAAACCACUGGAUUAUGCCAAUAUUUGACGCAUCUGCCAAUAUCUAGAAAAACAAGUCUAAAAGCCCAUAUUGUUAUAUAACAGAGAAACAAGGCAGGCUUGGUGCAAAGGGCUGCUGCCUCUUGCUCUCUUGAUCCUCAGGAAGACAGAGGAUGACAGAAGGAGAAUUCCAGUUUCAGCAGAGGCCGAAGCUUUUGCAUGCUAGCUGCAGGGGAGAUGGGAAAAGCUGCAGCCCUUCCUCCUGCCAAAGUGGGAAUAAAUCAGGCUCUCACAGCAGCAUACUGAGCACAUUGUAGAUGCUUCAUGUGUUGAAAGAGAAAUCUGUAAAAGAUUUGAAAGAAAGGGGCUCUCCACUUUCCCAAGGGUUGAGCCUGGCCCCCUCUUCCUGCUCAGCCUGAUGAGAGGGAAAACUCCUGUUUGAGAUUCCCAUGUUGGGGGGCAUCAGAAUGGCCAAAAAGGAGGAAAACACCUGAGAGGUUUCAGAAAGCCAGAGCCAAACACAAGCCCUGUCCCGAAGAGCUGAGGAUCACCCUUUAUCUUGUUUCACCUGGCCACUCUGGCUAGGACAGAGCCCCUCUGUUUGUGCUUCUUUGCCUGUGUGGGGCCAGGAAGAGACUAGAAGCAAGUUCCUCUGGGAUGUGGAGGGCAAGCAGAGCAAGGAUGCCCUCUCUUCUCUGCCAGGAGCUGCAAUAGGCCAGGAGACUGAAGCAGAAGAAGGAUGAAAAAGCCCAGCAGCCCCAUAGCCCUUCCAGCAGAUCCAUAAGCUGUAGAAGACUGCAUACAGAGGAAGGGAGUGCUGGCCCUUGAAAUGGCAGCCCCAGUGCUGCUCACUAGGCACCUGCUGUUCUCCCUGCCUCCCCUUUGUGCCUGUGCAAGAGCUUCUGACUGUAUUUGGAUUAUCUGACUGUAUCAGGAUUAUCUACUUCUACCCCCAGCUCCCCUCCAAGGUCCUCUGUCCUGAGCCUGUAUCAGAGGGGAGCCUGGCUCUUGCUCUGUGCAGCCCCCCCUUGCACUUGGCUCUGUCUGGCUGCAGAGGGCUGUAAUUUCACAGCCUGCUCUCCUCUCCAGCUCCCAAUGACAUCACCCACUCUGAUUAUAUAAAGCACAGGGAGGAAGCCUUUAUUUAUGCGUGCUUUUUGCUCACAGCUUCAGCUGUCUCAGUGUACAACACACAUGCAAAUCCCACUGCAGGAACUGGGCUCUCUUUUGCCUGAAUCAAAACUGCACUGCAGAAAAAGGUGUGGGUGCAAAAAAAAGUCUCUGUUUCCUUCCCCCACACCUCUGAAUACGUUUUUGAGGAGUUUGGGUAGGAAUCAACCAAGCACAACACUCUGCACCAUAGCAAGCUGGGCACAAAGCCACCAGCUUCCUCCCUGCUGGGAAGUCCCCAGAGAGCUGAGGGACCUGUGCUGGCAGCUCCAAGCCCUCUGUCUGCUGUUCACAAAGCGGCUACACAGGGGCUGGAAACCUAACCCCCAACAAUGCCCAACAGGGUCCCUACAAGGGCCAGCCCAGGGCUGUAAGGCCAGGGAGAGUUUCCCUUGCUGAGCCCAAGCCCCUGUGCAGCCCCUGACAAGGGGUGACCCCCACUGCCUGCUCCAUCCUCCUCUGGCCCAUGCUGCAGAAACGCUGCAGACACGAGCAAUCCCUGAAUGUUAACACUGCCAGAGAGACAGCAGCUUCUUUGCCAGAAGUGGUUUGGGAUUUGUGCAGGGUCGUUGCCAACUUCCACCAUGGGAAGAAGCGAUGGAAACUGAGAAAAGAAACUUUCUCUGCUGAGGAGUCAGGCAAACGCACGCACACUCAGCUCUGGAGCAGCAGCUUUACCAGACUCAGCACUAUCCCCCCGUCAGACACUGCUGAGAGACUUUGCUGAAUCAAGGCCUGAACAUCUGCAAAACACACACACAGACACACACACACAAACUCUCUUCCCAUCUUUGAAAGAUCAAGCCUCCCUCCCAGCAGGAAAUGACCAACUCGCCUCCAGCAGCAGUUCAAAAUGCUGAAUUCUUAAUUUUGUAUGUUGAAAGAAGGGAGCAUCUGAGGGAAAAGAAAAGCAUUUCCCAGAUAUUUUUGUACUUAUGCCUCCAGGUCUAUAGGGCUUGAAUUCAACAGUGGAUUUAAGCAUGUGCUCAACAUUAGGAAUAUGCUCAAGUUCCACUGAUGCUAAAUCAGACACUUGAUCUUUGUGAGAUGUUAAAAAAAUAGAAGCAAACCAAAAGAAGCACCAAAAGAACCAGAAGAAGGAGGAUCCUAAUAUGGAGAAGGACAUUAUCAUAUGUCUCCUCUUCCCUCAAAGCCUUUUCAAAGUCGAAUCUAAUUCAACCCUGAAAUCAGAAACCACCAACUUUGUUUGAUUUCAGAGCCUAACAGAUUGUCUAAAAAAUUCAGGAGGGAUCACUGGUUAAAGAAAGCAAUUCCUGGAGAAACACAUGUGACCCCACAUCAAUAAUUCAAUGUACGGGAAUGAUUCUGAGAUAAAAGUAAUGAGAAACACAUGCAAAAACCACAGGGCAGGGAAAAUAGGCUUUCCUUCUAAAAGCAGUUCACAGGUCAGAGGCUGCUUAUCUCCAACAGCCAUCAUACGACUCGAUGUUUUUUCCUUACUCUUGUCCCUGACCCCCAGCCCAGCCCUCUCAGCGAGGUAUCCGCUCCCUGCUUUAGCCACGCUUGUCUCCAGAGGUUUUCCCAAGCGCUGGCUGCGGGCUGGAGGAGGCAGGAGCGGGCAGAGCCCGCUGUGUGUCGGUGCUGCAGCGCGUUAUGCAACUGCUGCGAGCCCUCCGGGCAGGCAGCAGCGCUGCGGCGGCGCCCGGCCAGGCUGCGAUGGAUGAGCAGCCAGCCCCGCUCAGCCCGAGCGCGCAGGGCACCACGGACACGGCCUUCAGGAGGAAAUCGGACUCACAAAUGCACAGCUGAAAGUCAAUGUUCUCCACCUGAGCUGUGAAAUCGCUCGCAACAAGCCCUGCUUUCAGAUUUUAAAUCAGGUCUCUCCUGAUGAUUGUUUUCGUGCCUUUGCUCCCAGUUGGAAGGGGAUAUUUGCUCAUCUGACCCUGUUUCCAGUCAGUUUCUACCGAUGGCUCCCUGGCAUGUAUGAGUAUUUGUAUUCCAAAAGCUAAUAACAUCUGCCAUAAAAAUUAACUGAAAAAAAUCCUUCAUAUUUUUAAAUUUUUAGAAGUAAAGAUCUACCAUUUAAAAUAAACAAAGAAAUGAAAAUUUAAGUCCGACAAUAAAAAGAGUUGACAACAUACUAUAAAUAGGAAUUUAAAGGAACAAAAAAGUUCUACAAGCAACAUUUUCAACCUUAUCUUAACCAUGUCAGGUCUGUCUGCAAAAGUCAGAGAUGAACAUGCACCCAACUGUGUUCUCAAGUCAAGGCCAAAGGAAAAACAAACUGCAAAUGAUGAGAUCUGUGACCUAACAAUGGUAAAACAAUAAUAGAAAUAAUUUAAAAAAUCCAACCCCAAGGCAAUGCAGUUUUUCACAGUCACACAAAUCAAUGUACCUCUGCCUGGUCACAAGCCAUGCACCAGGCAGAUAAGGGGUGGCACAGUGCAUAAGAAAGCUGAGUUCUGAUUCAAGGCCACAAGUGGAAACAAAAUACAAACAGCAAUGUAAUGAUGUACUCCACAACUGCAGAGCUUUGUCCAAAGGCCACCUCAGAGACAAAACCAAAACCAGGUACCCUGGGAAAGGGAGCAUCUUACCAAGCAACUGAAAUACUCAGGAAAAAAUGGCUGAUUUGGGGGCACAGAAACCCUCUUCCCCAUCUGCAACAGAAGCUGCAAGCCUUAAGGUAAGCAUAAAGCAAGGUUUUACCUGAAAAUGUACUGCCCACACUCUCCACUGUACACUUUGAAAGCGUCCAUGCUACAAACCCUGACUGUCCCUGAGCCCUGUGAGGCCUUGCACUGCAGUGUGAGUGUAUGGCCACCUUACACAGAAAUUACUUCUAGAUGGGAAGACUCAUCACUGAUGUCAACUUUGGAAGAGUUUCAGGUUCUUGGCAAACAGAAGCUGCAAGACCAACAAACCUUGUGCCAAGUGAUGUCUUGCCACCACUGGUCCAUUCCAACAUGGACCUUUCUAGCCUACUACUGCAGUCUGGAGAAAGACAUGCUCCUCCACCUCCCUCUGCAUCCCAGAGCUGUCAAAACCUCUGCAUUUCCUGGGAUCCUUCUGGGUAUAAAACUGAAUAUUGUUGAGAGGCCUCUCCUAAUUAUGUUAUGAUUUUGAAGGCAAAUUCCUAAAUCAAGCAGAUCCCAAAUAAUUAUACUAAAGCAACACUAUGAUUCUGAAGCUGAAGUGAUAUAUCUGGGACUAAUUUUAUUCACAGCAUAACUUCUGGGCCUUUGGGUCCUAUUUGUUGCACAUCUUGAGGUUUCCUGCUUUGAACUAUACGGCUAGAAGACAGAAGCUUUAUUUAAAUGAAUAAAAUAAUUUCUAAAAAAGAGAGACUACCUAUAAUCUCAUGACUUCCAAAACUAGAAAAGGCAAUGUCAAAAACUUUUGAAUACUGAUGCUCCCAGUAAUAAAAAUGAUGCCAUUUUGGAAGGUUCCUCCUCCAGAAUGAACUCACAGUUGCUCGGUAACACAACUGCUCAUCCUUUCAUAACCCCUUUGAUCUUCAGAGGCGCUGAUGAGACAGGGCUGCUUCAACUCAGUAGAAAAAGAUCAAAUGCAAUAACCUGGGCUUCACAAUGAGAAGGUGAUGAGAGCAGCAUAGGUGGCCAUCUGCCCAGCAAAGGAAUGGAAUCAAUCAAUGCCUGGCAUUUUCUCUCACCCUUUCAUUUUCAUACAGAUCUCACACUGACCUCAGCGCCUGUCCACCACUUUCUCUUCCCAACUCCCAGCUCCUCUUUGUCAUUCCUUGCAAGAAAUUUGGACACUUAUUAAGAGAUGUCAAAUAGCAACAGAUGCUCUGGAGCAGAUUUCCCCCUGAAUUUAUAUAUUGAGGAUCUCCUAUUAUCAAUAUUGGUCAUUGUCAGAGAGUAUUUUAAUCCCUGGUGAAUAUAAUUAUAUUAUAUUUUAGUGUAGCACAGAAGACAAUGUUACCAGCUAAACCCCUUUUAGGCUGAGCUGUGCUCACAACAUUCUAAACCCAACAGCCACCACUGGCCACAAAUGCUUUACAUCAUGUUCUCCUUCUGACUUGAGAACACAGCCCAGGUGCUGCCUGUAUGGCCACAUGUAGGUAAAAAUCAUUUGCCACCAACUUUUCAAUGUGCUGCCAAGCACGCAGGUAUUGCAAUUUCCUACCCUGGCCAUAAGAUAUGGUGACAAUCCUGCAUUUGACUAUCAGGGAACAUGCAAAGAAAGCUGUAAACAUCAACAGACAACCCAGGCUGGUUAAUUAUAAAGCCCAGUCUAAUAAAAACUCCAUCUUUGUUAAAAGGUGGUUAAAAAUAGACCUGCUCUUUAAAUAGCCAGCAGUGUCCUGUGCCCUGGUUCUCACUAAUACCAUUGUAAUUAUUCUUCUAGGGAUACACAGUGUGCUCCAAGCCAAGUCAGUGCAGAGUCCUCCUGCACACUGCCAACAUGCCUGCAAAGCAGCUGUGCCAUUCAUCAGGAACCUGCCUCCUUGCAGAGGAGGCACUAACCUGGUUUGCUGCAAUCUAUGGAUUUUCAGCUUUACUGCUAGAAUUAGGUCACCAGCAAAGAUAGCCAAGAUUUCCCAAACUCUCCAGCUAUUCUUGAUUAUUCUGUUCAGAGGUUUCCUGGCUAAGCACAAUGCCUUUGAAAUGAAGAGGUGUUUUGGGCUCCUGCAAGGCUUCUGCAGUCAAACUCUGAGAAGCAGAGAUGCUCUCAUUCCAUAUCCUUAAUGGCCUCUAAAACUGCCAGGCAAUGGGAAAGUUCUCCAGCUCAGAUCUACUGCCACCAGGUCCUUCCAGCCUCUCCAGAAGAAAUCAAAGAUGGUGCACACCAGAAAACAGAGGAAUUAGCAAGGAUCUGCAGGGACCCCUGAAGACCCAUGCCUGCACUUGAGCCUGGCAGAACCCGAGGCAGCAGAGAGCUUCCCAGCAGGCAGCUGAAGAGUAGCCAGGGACUGAUCUGCUUCAUAAGACUGACAUUUGUACAUCACUGAAAAAGGAAAGGAUGUUAUUAACUUGUUAUUUCGGAAAACAUAUUUCCUGGUUUUAAAAUCAUGAGUGGGAAAUUUGUCAAUGUCAAGAAUAAAUUCUUAUCUGGUACUGGAAGUUCUUUUUGUCAUUAACAUAAUUUUUAAAAUUACACAGGAGUGUGUGAAGGCCAAGAGAUGCAAGAUGGCUCAAACCUCAAACAAGGAAAAAGCAUGGAGCUGGCUGCCUGGAAACAACAUUCUCUGGGCUGGAAGCAAGAAAAGAAUGUAUCUGUAAGACAUACAAAUUGCUCCAUUUGCUUCAGCUCAACUACAAAACUUCUAGUGCUUUCAAUUGGGCUCAAAAAUCAUUAUAUUAAGCACAGGAUGCUCUACCUAGUGAACUUUUGAUCAGCUAAAGAAGACUAUUAUGACCCCUGUCUGGGUCUUCAAUGCCACAAAUGGAUACAAAUUUGAUUCUCCAAACCAAGAACAGCUGUAGUUGAGUAAACUAACAUUUGUAGGAGGAUUAGCUGCCUUAUGCUUGCUGACCCUGUAUUUUCCCAGCAGGAAAAGGGUUAGGACCCCACUUGGAACAAACCAGACACUGAAAGGUUCAUGGCUUGUUUUGGAAAGAAAAAUUAUUUAAAAAGACAAAAAAAAAGAGGGAGGAGCUGGAACACCUACUCCUCUGGUUUGGUGGAAACUGGUUUCCAUUUGCUCUGCUAUCAGAGCAGUAUUAAGAAAAUAACAACAUGACCUUACAGAAAUACCUGCAGCAGCACCACUUUAUAAUCACAAUCCCACCCUCCUUCCCUGCUCUUUUGUAGUGCUUAUGUCACUCUCAGGGCCUCAUGAACUUAGGCAAUAUUCAUUACUGUUUCACCAAUCAGAUAUUUUAUUUUCUAUGUUGCAUCCCAUCCUGGGAUGACUCCUUGUUGGUUUCAAAAAACAUUACUGUUAAAAAUCAUAGCUAAAAAACAACAAAAAAGGUAAUUUUUCCCAAACAUAAUUCACCUAGAGAGAGCCUGUGGUGGGUUUCCUCAGCACGAGAGCCAAACUACAAACCAGAAGGAGGAACUUUUUGACUUUCCUAGUGCUGUGCUAGCCAGGAGCUGGCAGGGCUUGCAGGCACUUUCAGGAAGGGCAGAGCAGCAAACCGGAGAUGACAUUUCCACAAGCAGGAAAGGGCGAUGCAGCAGGCAGGACCUUGGAGUGAAACUCAGACCUGUCCACAGACAGCUUGCAUGACCCCAGGGAAAUCCUGCAGGAACUGAAGCACACACCACUCAUCCACAAAAUGGAGCUAAUCCUAAUUCCUUCAUACAGUACUGCACAGCUACAGCUACUCCUGGCUUUCAGGAGCUCAUGCAGCUCAGCAAUGACAAAGGUGUGGGAAGAGCCAAGAGUCUGGGAUUCUCUGAAAGCCAAUUCAUCCAGCUUCCUCUGGUAGUUAAUGAGGCUCAGAGUACAACAUGGCCACAUUUCCCAAAAUGGAUCAGUAAUUCCUCACUACUCCAUAUAUGCAACAAAAAUCUGUCUGAGGUCUUCUGUUAUCUCUGUCCCAAGAAAUUCUCAAGAUGGAAUUUCAAAGGAGUUUAGUCAUAAUCAGGAAGACAAGAUGAAGGCUGUAUUGUUGACACUGCAAUCACGCAGUCAUAAAGCUUUUUACUUCUUAAAACCCUUUAGUUCUGAUGUCCUACUGUUAAUCCCAUUAUGGUUUAGGCCCCAUUAAAAAAAUAUACACCAUAGUAGCUCAGACAUCACACUAUUCUAAAAAACAAACACCUACAUAGGAUGUUUCCUCUUCUUUCUGUUUUUUAAGUACAAAGGUUACAUUGGCUCAUUGGUUUUGUGUGGAGGAUAGGAAACACUUAACUCUGGGUGCUGGGUUGCCCCAAGCACCACCAGAAUUGUAGGGAAGAUUACAAGGGUUGGCAAGAUUAAUAAUAUUUUUCACUUUAAAUAACAGAACAAUUAAAAAAGAAGGAUACUUUGAAAUGAAAAAAUAAAAAAUUGCUUAAGCA